ACACAAAAUACUAGAAACGAGGAACAGUGACCUUUAUAUGAAUCAGGGGAGAAAGGAUGUAGAAACAUGUUCACGUGCUCUGGUUGAGGAACUAAACCACAGGCCUGUGAUUCUGCUUUAUUUAUAUUCUCUCACACAUUUUCAUCACCUCGCGUUUUUUAUUUUGCCUUUCGCCUUCGCCCUGCCGCUCCUUUGUCCCUCGCUGUGACCCGUCGGACUCCAUGGUAACGCAGCCGCCGCCAAAGCUAAAGCUAAGUGUUGUUUUGCUAGCAGGCGGCAGAAUCAAAGCUUUUUCUACUUUUAGCAAUAAAAACCUAAGAAUGUGACUUUACGUUAAAUCUCCCGACGACCACCCACGAGCUCUGAUGAAGACACAGGAGCGACCUGAGCGAUGUGAUCCCUGUUGAAGAUUUCUCCUCAAACAGACACGAUGCCAGUGCUGAACAUCUGGGAGCUGUCCAUCCCGCUCCCAGCUGUUCUUGGACAGAUCACU